CUACUACAUCUCCCCUCCUUGCCUCUCUCUCUCCUCUGCUAUCAUAGUGAUCCCAGAAAGGGACCUGCACAGAGAAAGACGGGAUUUGGAUUUUAAUGCAACAUAAAAUAAGAAUAGCAUAAAAAAUAAGAAAUCAGAGCUGUGUUAAUCUGAAGAUCAAGCAGGAAAAAAAAGAGGAGAGGGAUGGAGAGAAAAUGAAAGACAGAAAGAGGAGAGGAAAAACAAGCACAUGUGAUGUCAAGGAGAAGCUUCUUUGCCACGGGCAUUGUGGGAAAUCAAUGUCUCAGGAAACCGUCUGUGUGCACUUAACAAGGAUGACACAUGGUUUUCUCUUUACCUCAACUUCAAAGGUUUCCCAUUCUAAUACUCAUUCAACUACAGAAGGCCUAGUCACAACAGACGACUUCGUCACCACCGUCUCCACCACCCGCAGGACCACCACUCUCCGUACGCGGAGCGUGAAGAGACCCAAUCAGAACCUCAGCCGAAACACAAGCUCAGGAUGCAGUGUGGGUUCACUCUAUACAUCAGUCUGCUGUUCCCUCCUCCUGAUGGCCAUGAUGCAAGGGCUAUGAGGGUCCUUCGAUUAAAUUAUAAAUUCAAGUUAACAAAUAGAUAACAAAUAUUUUCAAAUAAUGUUGAUGUUUAACAUAUUAUGGAAAUAUAAAAUGGACUUAAACUUCCAAAACAGAACAGUCUCACAAUGUACCGAUUUAGUGGAGCAACAAACAGGAUUACUGGACAUACAGGUUCACAUGAAAUGGGUGUAGAAGCAUGUCAUAUGUUAAUCAGAUUAACUUCUGACAAUCCAUUCUGUUUUAAAAAUGAUAAGUUAAAUGCAUGAUUCUGUUA
ensembl:lncRNA